rnacentral:rRNA from 1 species
AUGGGCUUUCGUGAUAUGGAGGCGUUUAAUCAAGCUUUGCUUGCAAAGCAGGCAUGGAGGAUCCUACAAGUCCCCUCCUCUCUCUGCUCAAGGGUACUUAAGGCUAGAUAUUUCACUGAUGGUUCUAUUCUUAGCGCAACCUGUCUGAAUGGUGCCUCAUUCACUUUCAGAAGUAUCUUGUAUGGA